GCCUACGGGAGGCAGCAGUGAGGAAUAUUGGUCAAUGGGCGGAAGCCUGAACCAGCCAAGUCGCGUGAGGGAAGAAGGCCCUGCGGGUCGCAGACCUCUUUGGACGGGGAGCAAGGCCGCCGACGUGUCGGCGGAAGGAGAGUACCCGUAGAACAAGCAUCGGCUAACUCCGUGCCAGCAGCCGCGGUAAUACGGAGGAUGCGAGCGUUAUCCGGAUUUAUUGGGUUUAAAGGGUGCGCAGGCGGCACGGCAAGUCGGCGGUCAAAUCGCGGGGCUCAACCCCGCGCAGUGGUGGGAACUGGCGG
rnacentral:rRNA from 1 species